rnacentral:rRNA from 1 species
AUUGAACGCUGGCGGCAGGCCUAACACAUGCGAGUCGAGCGAGCGGCGGACGGGUGAGUAAUGUCUGGGAAACUGCCUGAUGGAGGGGGAUAACUACUGGAAACGGUAGCUAAUACCGCAUACCAUCAGAUGUGCCCAGAUGGGAUUAGCUAGUAGGUGGGGGAAUGGCUCACCUAGGCGACGAUCCCUAGCUGGUCUGAGAGGAGAACCAGCCACACUGGAACUGUGACACGGUCCCGACGCCUACGGGAGGCAGAAGUGGGGAAUAUUGCACAAUGGGCGCAAGCCUGAUGCAGCCAUGCCGCUUGUGUGAAGAAGGCCUUCGGGUUGUAAAGCACUUUCAGCGGGGAGGCGUUACCCGCAGAAGAAGCACCGGCUAACUCCGUGCCAGCAGCCGCGGUAAUAC